ACCGAGGAUGGAGAAACACAAGGGGUAAUUGAAAUUUUCACAUCUAAAAUGGAGUAAAGUUUUAGAUGUGUCGAACCCCAGCCCAGCCAUGAACCAUCCAAAGAGUAAACACACUCGGGAGUGAGCGACUGACGAGGUAGAGACAAUUUAUAAAAUUUAUAACCAAAAUAAUAUGAGUGACUGACAAAAUUUGACCCUGUCCGUUCAUGAAAAACAAGACAUAAAUGCAGGUCCGGUCAUUUGUUAAAAUAAUCCGAAUCGACUAGGCCCAAACCCGACCCGAUCCCAGUCUUUUGCCAUCCAUGCUUCCCACAUUCAGAACUCAAAACUCUUCCAAGUUUCAACAUUAUAAAAACUGUCACCAAAAAAAUUAAGAAAACAAAAACCAGCAACAAAUUAGUAGAAAUAAAAUUUGAUUCAACUUUUUGGAGGAGACCCCACAUCCAUGUAAAUAUGGAAUAUAUCAUUACUAAAAUCAACCUAAUUGUCAUGAAAAGUCUUGGAAGAAGCACAUGACCUUCGGCCAGAACAUUCCCAUUUAGGUAGCAGUAGGCUUCCAAUUCUAAAGGAGAAUAAUGUAGGAGAAACAAUUAUAUAUGAAGUUGGUGUUGACAGAUAAAAGAAGGCAAAACCCACCACUACAUUGUACGUACAAGUAACACAGAAAUAGUGGGAGGAUCAUGGACUGAAAGUCUAAGUGAGCGUUGUUGCCUUGUUGGGUGCUUGGAAUGGUGGUCAUACUAUGAAUUACAAAUUAUCUGCGGUGCGUAACAACUCAUUGUUAUUGGUUGGCAAGAUGGCGAAGCGGCCAUUGUUUUUUUAAACUUGUGAGUUUAUCCAUCUUGAAGUUGGAGGGCCUUGUUUGCUUUCAACGAAAAUUUGCAAGUCCGGGUUCAGUAAUAGCUAAAAUGCAAAAGAAUGCCAAUGUAACAUAUGCACUUUCAUUUUCUUAAUUAAGUGUAUUAUUUAAUUUUUCCCAUUUGAUAUUAAUUUUAAAUUUGUUACAACAUAAAAUUGAGACAAUUCGAACACGAUUCAAUGGCAGUGUAGUUGGAUUUUAUUUUAACACGGGUCCGACAUUAGUUUAAUUAGUAGUAAUCUUUAAAAAAAGAAAACAAAAGCUAGUUUCUAUAAAUGGAAAGGGGGGAGCUGGUUUCCAAAAAAGGAAAGAGGGAGGGGCACGCGAGGGAGAAGAAGAGAGAGAGAAGUUGACCUGUUUAGCCAGACCCGACCCGACCCGCGUCCUUGACCCGGACCCAGCCGCCGAUUCCAGCCACCUCACCGGUCAAGCUUGGUACCGAUCUGAAUCUUGAACGACGUCAGUUGUAUCCCCGCUGUCAUCGUCGCCGUAAAACGGCCAGAACGAUGGCGAUUUAGCUUGAAAAACCCGCGGCUCAACCCGUUUUCGUCGCCGUCAAUAUCGCCGGAAUAAGGUUGUACCACCGGCUGGGUUCGACUCCUCACAUCACCAGCUUUCAUUUCCGACCAACCUCGUCACCUGAAACAUCCGUCUUGGCCGCGAACGACCACCGGGAAACUCACGGAUUUUGUAGCUUCGAUCUGCCGCCGUCGCCGCGCGUGGUAGGUCACCGCCGGCACCGUUGAUGAUGCUUUAUAACUGGUUCACGUAUGGAAUUUGAUGAUGCUUAUGCACUGUUGCUCACUCAUGAAACUAGAUUAGAACAAGAUCAAGAUGAUAAGAGUGUAAUCAAUGCUAACUUUGCAUAUGCUAAUGCAUAUUAUCCUAAGGCUUAUUAUGUACAGUCUAGGGGAAACUUUAAGAGAGGAGGAUAUUAUAGUGGUAGAAAUGCUUUCUUUGGUAGAGGAAACAUGAAUAUUUCUCCAAGGAUGUUUAAUGGAGGUUUUAGAAAUGGCUAUGGCAGAGGAUACUCUUUUGAUAAUAAUUUUCCAGCACUGAGGAAUUCACUUCUUGUUGUCAAGAAUAGAUCUACUAAUAUGAAUGGAUCACAGGGAACUUUCAACAAUAGCUCAGGAGAUCCAAUAUGUCAUAUUUGUCUUAAGACUAGUCAUAUUGUUGACAUUUGUUAGCAUAGAUUUGUUGAAGACUAUGUGCCAACACCAAGAGGCUUUGGCUAAGGCAAAGCACCGACAGCAGCAUAUCUAUCAAAUUUUGAUGGCUUUGUUUCCAAUCCAAACUUUGAUAGUUAUGAAAACUUCAACUAUAUGCCUUCAGCUUAUAAUUCUAUGUCUGGCAAUAGUUAUUAUUAUGGUAUUGAUGCAUACACUCCUGGAGCAGUAUUUAUGGCUAAUUUUGAAGGUACUGCUAAUGAUGGAUGGUAUUUGGAUAGUGGAGCAACUCACCAUUUAACCAACAACAUAUAGAACUUGCAGAUCAGUGAAG
rnacentral:lncRNA from 1 species